UACGUAGGGUCCGAGCGUUGUCCGGAAUUAUUGGGCGUAAAGGGCUCGUAGGCGGUUUUGUCGCGUCGGGGAGUGAAAAACCUACAGCUUAACUGUGGGCUUGCUUUCGAUACGGGCAGACUUGAGGCAUGCAGGGGAGAACGGAAUUCCUGGUGUAGCGGUGAAAUGCGCAGAUAUCAGGAGGAACACCGAUGGCGAAGGCAGGUCUCUGGGCCGAUACUGACGCUGAGGAGCGAAAGCGUGGGGAGCGAACAGG
rnacentral:rRNA from 1 species